GACGAACGCUGGCGGCGUGCCUAACACAUGCAAGUAGAACGCUGAAGGAGGAGCUUGCUUCUCUGGAUGAGUUGCGAACGGGUGAGUAACGCGUAGGUAACCUGCCUGGUAGCGGGGGAUAACUAUUGGAAACGAUAGCUAAUACCGCAUAAGAGUAGAUGUUGCAUGACAUUUGCUUAAAAGGUGCAAUUGCAUCACUACCAGAUGGACCUGCGUUGUAUUAGCUAGUUGGUGGGGUAACGGCUCACCAAGGCGACGAUACAUAGCCGACCUGAGAGGGUGAUCGGCCACACUGGGACUGAGACACGGCCCAGACUCCUACGGGAGGCAGCAGUAGGGAAUCUUCGGCAAUGGACGGAAGUCUGACCGAGCAACGCCGCGUGAGUGAAGAAGGUUUUCGGAUCGUAAAGCUCUGUUGUAAGAGAAGAACGAGUGUGAGAGUGGAAAGUUCACACUGUGACGGUAUCUUACCAGAAAGGGACGGCUAACUACGUGCCAGCAGCCGCGGUAAUACGUAGGUCCCGAGCGUUGUCCGGAUUUAUUGGGCGUAAAGCGAGCGCAGGCGGUUAGAUAAGUCUGAAGUUAAAGGCUGUGGCUUAACCAUAGUACGCUUUGGAAACUGUUUAACUUGAGUGCAAGAGGGGAGAGUGGAAUUCCAUGUGUAGCGGUGAAAUGCGUAGAUAUAUGGAGGAACACCGGUGGCGAAAGCGGCUCUCUGGCUUGUAACUGACGCUGAGGCUCGAAAGCGUGGGGAGCAAACAGG
rnacentral:rRNA from 1 species